rnacentral:rRNA from 1 species
UUCUAAGGGCGUUGAAGCAUGAUCGCAAGGACAUGUGGAGCGCUUAGAAGUGAGAAUGCCGGUGUGAGUAGCGAAAGACGGGUGAGAAUCCCGUCCACCGAUUGACUAAGGUUUCCAGAGGAAGGCUCGUCCGCUCUGGGUUAGUCGGGUCCUAAGCUGAGGCCGACAGGCGUAGGCGAUGGAUAACAGGUUGAUAUUCCUGUACCACCAUUAUUCGUUUUAAGCGAUGGGGGGACGCAGUAGGAUAGGCGAAGCGUGCUGUUGGAGUGCACGUCCAAGCAGUGAGAUUGAGUGUUAGGCAAAUCCGGCACUCUUAAGAUUGAGCUGUGAUGGGGAGAGGAACUUGUUCCUCGAGUCGUUGAUUUCACACUGCCGAGAAAAGCCUCUAGCUAGAAUAACGGUGCCCGUACCGCAAACCGACACAGGUAGUCAAGAUGAGAAUUCUAAGGUGAGCGAGCGAACUCUCGUUAAGGAACUCGGCAAAAUGACCCCGUAACUUCGGGAGAAGGGGUGCUCUUUGAGGUUCACGCUUCGAAGAGCCGCAGUGAAUAGGCCCAAGCGACUGUUUAUCAAAAACACAGGUCUCUGCUAAACCGUAAGGUGACGUAUAGGGGCUGACGCCUGCCCGGUGCUGGAAGGUUAAGAGGAGUGGUUAGCGCAAGCGAAGCUACGAAUCGAAGCCCCAGUAAACGGCGGCCGUAACUAUAACGGUCCUAAGGUAGCGAAAUUCCUUGUCGGGUAAGUUCCGACCCGCACGAAAGGCGUAACGAUUUGGGCACUGUCUCAACGAGAGACUCGGUGAAAUCAUAGUACCGGUGAAGAUGCCGGUUACCCGCGACAGGACGGAAAGACCCCGUGGAGCUUUACUGUAGCCUGAUAUUGAAAUUCGGUACAGUUUGUACAGGAUAGGUAGGAGCCUUAGAAGCGUGAGCGCUAGCUUACGUGGAGGCAUUGGUGGGAUACUACCCUAAUUGUAUUGGAUUUCUAACCCGCAGCACUUAUCGUGCUGGGAGACAGUGUCAGGCGGGCAGUUUGACUGGGGCGGUCGCCUCCUAAAGAGUAACGGAGGCGCUCAAAGGUUCCCUCAGAAUGGUUGGAAAUCAUUCAUAGAGUGUAAAGGCAUAAGGGAGCUUGACUGCGAGACCUACAAGUCGAGCAGGGUCGAAAGACGGACUUAGUGAUCCGGUGGUUCCGCAUGGAAGGGCCAUCGCUCAACGGAUAAAAGCUACCCCGGGGAUAACAGGCUUAUCUCCCCCAAGAGUUCACAUCGACGGGGAGGUUUGGCACCUCGAUGUCGGCUCAUCGCAUCCUGGGGCUGUAGUCGGUCCCAAGGGUUGGGCUGUUCGCCCAUUAAAGCGGUACGCGAGCUGGGUUCAGAACGUCGUGAGACAGUUCGGUCCCUAUCCGUCGUGGGCGUAGGAAAUUUGAGAGGAGCUGUCCUUAGUACGAGAGGACCGGGAUGGACAUACCUCUGGUGUACCAGUUGUCGUGCCAACGGCAUAGCUGGGUAGCUAUGUAUGGACGGGAUAAGUGCUGAAAGCAUCUAAGCAUGAAGCCCCCCUCGAGAUGAGAUUUCCCAACUUCGGUUAUAAG